rnacentral:rRNA from 1 species
CCCUUAGACGUUCUGGGCCGCACGCGCGCUACACUGACCAGUGCAACAAGCAUCCGUCCUUGGCCGACAGGCUCGGGCAAUCUUUGAACGCUGGUCGUGAUGGGGAUAGACUUUUGCAAUUUUUGGUCUUCAACGAGGAAUUCCUAGUAAACGCAAGUCAUAAACUUGCAUUGAUUACGUCCCUGCCCUUUGUACACACCGCCCGUCGCACCUACCGAUUGAAUGGUCCGGUGAAGCCUCCGGAUUGGCGCGCACCUCGGUGCCGCCGAGAAGUUGGCUAAACCUUACCAUUUAGAGGAAGGUGAAGUCGUAACA